rnacentral:rRNA from 1 species
AUUGAACGCUGGCGGCAGGCUUUACACAUGCCAGUCGAACGGCUGCGCGGGCUUUGCUCUUGCGUCGAGUGGCGGACGGGUGAGUAAUGCCUAGGAACGUGCCUGGUAGUGGGGGAUAACGUCGGGAAAGGGGGGUUAAUACCGCAUACGUCCUGAGGGAGAAAGCGGGGGAUCUUCGGACCUCACGCUAUUGGAUCGGCCUAUGGCGGAUUAGCUAGUUGGUGGGGUAAAGGCCUACCAAGGCGACGAUCUGUAGCUGGUCUGAGAGGACGACCAGCCACACUGGGACUGAGACACGGCCCAGACUCCUACGGGAGGCAGCAGUGGGGAAUUUUGGACAAUGGGCGAAAGCCUGAUCCAGCAAUGCCGCGUGUGUGAUGAAGGCCUUCGGGUUGUAAAGCACUUUUGGCGGGAACGAAAAGGACUGUGCUAAUACCACGGUUCGAUGACGUUACCAGCAGAAUAAGCACCGGCUAACUACGUG